CCUGUCUCUUUUUGAGAGAAAAUUUGCUACCCCGCCGGACUAUGAAGAGCUUCGAGUCUAUCGGGAGAGGAUGUGAUGGUAACCCCCACGGCUUCGUCUAGAGCCGGGUGUCUAGCCGUGUACAAAGACUCACCCUAGCCACUAUAGUAUAGCGACCCCGCCCCCAACUCUAGCUGAGAAGCAACCUCCAUCCACUUUCCCUUUUCCGCGUGCCCAAAAGCUCGCCCGCCUGGUUUAUGAGCCCCUUUCCGAUUCCCUCACCCAAUCUCAUGAGAAGCAAGCCCAGCGGGCCUUGCCUUAACCUG
rnacentral:lncRNA from 1 species